rnacentral:rRNA from 1 species
GGGACACGUGGUAUCCUGUCUGAAUAUGGGGGGACCAUCCUCCAAGGCUAAAUACUCCUGACUGACCGAUAGUGAACCAGUACCGUGAGGGAAAGGCGAAAAGAACCCCGGCGAGGGGAGUGAAAAAGAACCUGAAACCGUGUACGUACAAGCAGUGGGAGCCUCUUUUAUGGGGUGACUGCGUACCUUUUGUAUAAUGGGUCAGCGACUUAUAUUCUGUAGCAAGGUUAACCGAAUAGGGGAGCCGAAGGGAAACCGAGUCUUAACUGGGCGUUAAGUUGCAGGGUAUAGACCCGAAACCCGGUGAUCUAGCCAUGGGCAGGUUGAAGGUUGGGUAACACUAACUGGAGGACCGAACCGACUAAUGUUGAAAAAUUAGCGGAUGACUUGUGGCUGGGGGUGAAAGGCCAAUCAAACCGGGAGAUAGCUGGUUCUCCCCGAAAGCUAUUUAGGUAGCGCCUCGUGAAUUCAUCUCCGGGGGUAGAGCACUGUUUCGGCAAGGGGGUCAUCCCGACUUACCAACCCGAUGCAAACUGCGAAUACCGGAGAAUGUUAUCACGGGAGACACACGGCGGGUGCUAACGUCCGUCGUGAAGAGGGAAACAACCCAGACCGCCAGCUAAGGUCCCAAAGUCAUGGUUAAGUGGGAAACGAUGUGGGAAGGCCCAGACAGCCAGGAUGUUGGCUUAGAAGCAGCCAUCAUUUAAAGAAAGCGUAAUAGCUCACUGGUCGAGUCGGCCUGCGCGGAAGAUGUAACGGGGCUAAACCAUGCACCGAAGCUGCGGCAGCGACGCUUAUGCGUUGUUGGGUAGGGGAGCGUUCUGUAAGCCUGUGAAGGUGUGCUGUGAGGCAUGCUGGAGGUAUCAGAAGUGCGAAUGCUGACAUAAGUAACGAUAAAGCGGGUGAAAAGCCCGCUCGCCGGAAGACCAAGGGUUCCUGUCCAACGUUAAUCGGGGCAGGGUGAGUCGACCCCUAAGGCGAGGCCGAAAGGCGUAGUCGAUGGGAAACAGGUUAAUAUUCCUGUACUUGGUGUUACUGCGAAGGGGGGACGGAGAAGGCUAUGUUGGCCGGGCGACGGUUGUCCCGGUUUAAGCGUGUAGGCUGGUUUUCCAGGCAAAUCCGGAAAAUCAAGGCUGAGGCGUGAUGACGAGGCACUACGGUGCUGAAGCAACAAAUGCCCUGCUUCCAGGAAAAGCCUCUAAGCAUCAGGUAACAUCAAAUCGUACCCCAAACCGACACAGGUGGUCAGGUAGAGAAUACCAAGGCGCUUGAGAGAACUCGGGUGAAGGAACUAGGCAAAAUGGUGCCGUAACUUCGGGAGAAGGCACGCUGAUAUGUAGGUGAAGUCCCUCGCGGAUGGAGCUGAAAUCAGUCGAAGAUACCAGCUGGCUGCAACUGUUUAUUAAAAACACAGCACUGUGCAAACACGAAAGUGGACGUAUACGGUGUGACGCCUGCCCGGUGCCGGAAGGUUAAUUGAUGGGGUCAGCGCAAGCGAAGCUCUUGAUCGAAGCCCCGGUAAACGGCGGCCGUAACUAUAACGGUCCUAAGGUAGCGAAAUUCCUUGUCGGGUAAGUUCCGACCUGCACGAAUGGCGUAAUGAUGGCCAGGCUGUCUCCACCCGAGACUCAGUGAAAUUGAACUCGCUGUGAAGAUGCAGUGUACCCGCGGCAAGACGGAAAGACCCCGUGAACCUUUACUAUAGCUUGACACUGAACAUUGAGCCUUGAUGUGUAGGAU